GCGGCGCCUGCUGCAAGCUAGACAAGGGCCCCGAGUUCCUCACCCCCGACAAGGACAAGGCGGACGGCCCUGACCACCUCCAGGUUAAUAUGAUGGAGCAUGCUGAAUUGCUGACCAUGAUCGUAGCUGUACAAGAGCAUGAUUGGCCCCGAUGGAUGGUGCACCAACUACGACAAGUCCAACUGAACCUGCAACAUCUACGAAGACUGGCCAUUCUUCUACCGGUUCGAACCGAAGGUUUUCAAAGAGUUCUUUGGUGUGCCAUGCAGCAAAUUCGACAGCGAAGACUGCAGUGGUUGUGUGGAUAACAUCAAGAUGGUGUAUGGUCAGGACUCUCCUAAGCUUGGAAACCUCAUGCGGGUCAUAAGGGAGGAAAGUAGUAAGCAUGAAGCAAGCAUGAACCGGGUUACUGGUACCUGAUUGAUUAUGGAGUGUAGAGUACUCACUCACCGAAGCAGUUGAAAACCGGAACACAAAUACUGGUCUGGAAGCACUGCCGCGUCGACGACGAAGGUGGUGACCGCGGCGGCGAGCGGCGCGAGUUGCUGGCUGCGGGACUCAACGACACGGCUCAUAUAUGUGCUUCCGACUAAUCCAGCUUCUUUUGGUCUAGCUGGGCAUUACUUUGAGUUCAUAUAUGUGCUUGUCACUCCAUAGGUUGUAGUGAUUCCCUCUGUUUCCUUAUAUGUUCUUGUAGCUUGGUUGCUUUCCUGUUCAUGCAUGUUUGUACAGCUAUAUAUAGUUUUGCUGUGAAUCAAAGACGACAUGCUUUCCUGUUCACUCCAUAGGUCAUGUGCUUGUCACUCCAUAGGUUAUAGUUUUGCUGUGAACCUAGGCGUGCUAUGUGGGGAAGCAAAGCAGCAGGUCACAACUCCGGCCUGCAACUCCAGAUGAAGGCACUCCGACGACGCAUCAUGCUACUCCCUUGGAAGGGCUUCCUAGUCCGUGGCCUGCCUUCUGGAUGGAGCAAGGAGGGGGCAUCAUCCACACCGCGGAGCUGGUUGAGCCUUAUUGCGAACUAGAUAAGCAGGGCAUCGUCGGGGACAUCUCUCGCUUGUGCCAUGAUUUUGGCCUUAAUUCGUCAAAAGUUGCUGUACAAGGAACUACAGGAGAAGAAUCCUAAAGAAAACUUGCACCCAAAAUGUGUUUUAGCUCCCUGGAGCUGGACAUGUUAAUAUCUAGCUGUAUUUUAUAUUUCAAUACCUGAUUUGUACUGCUGUGAUUGUAAAGUACCUGCCAUGAUUUGGCUGUUGUUUGAAAAUUUAUGUGUUAUUGGCUCUGUUUGAAUCAA